UCUGGAAAUUUCCAGAGAGAGAGAGAAAGGGAGUUCUUGAGAGAAAUCCCAAAUUCGACCAAAAUUCAAGUCCCGAAAUCCGAAGCUCAUGAAGAGAAAAUUGUUGUACGUCGCAUUGGCUUCAAUUUGAGCUAGAAAUCAGCCAAUAAGGAGAAGAUUUUAUGUGGUGCUGCAAAUUUAAGGUUGAGACAAUAUUGGACAACAUAUACGUAUAAACGCUAAAGGUACAAAUACUCAUUUUGGAGAGCCGCCAACUUAGGAUUCUACUCAACGAGUUUGAAGUGCUCCAUUGUCUCGGAGCCCAAACUUUGGGUACUAAUCCUUAUAAUGUAUAUAUUUGUGUAUUUAGGGGUACGACGGGGCCCUGUCCCGUCAUAUGCUAUUGUUAAUUCUCUUAGAGGUCUGUAGACAUAUGAGUGGGUUGUAUAUAGAUGUUGUCCGGUGUACUAGUAUGACUUAUGUUUUUGGACGUUUACAUUCAGAAUGGAAGCCUUGUCGGCUUACAUAUUAUGUUAUCUUAUUUUUGACAAUUAAGACUCCCCAAGAAAUAGGUGAUUUUAGUAUAUAUAUAAGUAACAGUUUGAGACAACGUGCUACCCAUAUAAAUCCUUUAUCAUGCUUAAUUGCCGAUU